rnacentral:rRNA from 1 species
GAGUAGGGGGGGGAUAACAUGCUUUCCGGGGGGGGAGAGCUUAUAAAAUGGAUAUUAAACGCGAGAAACCUCAGGGGUUCAUGGAUCGCAAGUAAAAAAAUCAGUUUGGGGUAAGAGGGACCCGCAUCGGAUUUAGUCAAUUGGGGGGGGAAACGGCCUACCAAAAGGACGAUCCAUAGCCCGGGCCUGAGAGGGUGGAUCGGCCACAUUUGGGACUGAGACACGGCCCAGACUCCUACGGGAGGCAGCAGUGGGGAAUAUUGCACAAUGGGGGAAACCCUGACCCAGCGACGCCGCGUGAGGGAUGACGUAUCUCGGUAUGUAAACUUCUAUCAUCAGUGAAGAAAAUGACGGUACCUGAGUAAGAAGCUCCGGCUAACUACGUGCCAGCAGCCGCGGUAAUACGUAGGGAGCAAGCGUUAUCCGGAUUUACUGGGUGUAAAGGGAGCGUAGACGGAUCAGCAAGUCUGAUGUGAAAUCCGGGGGCUCAACCCAUGAACUGCAUUUGAAACUGUUAAUCUUGAGUGCCGUAGAGGUAAGCGGAAUUCCUGGUGUAGCGGUGAAAUGCGUAGAUAUUAGGAGGAACACCAGUGGCGAAGGCGGCCUACUGGGCUUUAACUGACGCUGAGGCACGAAAGUGUGGGUAGCAAACAGGAUUAGAUACCCUGGUAGUCCACACUGUAAACGAUGAUUACUAGGUGUGGGGGGUCUAACCCCCUCCGUGCCGGAGUUAACACAAUAAGUAAUCCACCUGGGGAGUACGACCGCAAGGUUGAAACUCAAAGGAAUUGACGGGGGCCCGCACAAGCAGUGGAGUAUGUGGUUUAAUUCGACGCAACGCGAAGAACCUUACCAGGUCUUGACAUCCAACUAACGAAGCAGAGAUGCAUUAGGUGCCCUUCGGGGAAAGUUGAGACAGGUGGUGCAUGGUUGUCGUCGGCUCGUGUCGUGAGAUGUUGGGUUAAGUCCCGCAACGAGCGCAACCCUUGUGAUUAGUUGCUACGCAAGAGCACUCUAAUCAGACUGCCGUUGACAAAACGGAGGAAGGUGGGGACGACGUCAAAUCAUCAUGCCCUUUAUGACCUGGGCUACACACGUACUACAAUGGUCGUUAACAGAGGGAAGCAAUACCGCGAGGCGGAGCAAAACCCUAAAAACGGUCUCAGUUCAGAUUGUAGGCUGCAACUCGCCUACAUAAAGUUGGAAUUGCUAGUAAUCGCGAAUCAGCAUGCCGCGGUGAAUACGUUCCCGGGCCUUGCACACACCGCCCGUCA